CCUACGGGAGGCAGCAGUGAGGAAUAUUGGUCAAUGGUCGCGAGCCUGAACCAGCCAAGUAGCGUGAGGGAUGACUGCCCUACGUGUUGUAAACCUCUUUUGUCAGGGAAUAAAGGGGGGCACGUGUGCCUUUAUGUAUGUACUUGAUGAAUAAGGAUCGGCUAACUCCGUGCCAGCAGCCGCGGUAAUACGGAGGAUCCGAGCGUUAUCCGGAUUUAUUGGGUUUAAAGGGAGCGUAGAUGGGUUGUUAAGUCAGUUGUGAAAGUUUGGGGCUCAACCGUAAAAUUGCAAUUGAUACUGGCAGCCGUGAGUAGAAGAGAGGUAGGCGGAAUGCGUGGUGUAGCGGUGAAAUGCAUAGAUAUCACGAAGAACUCCGAUUGCGAAGGCAGCAUGC
rnacentral:rRNA from 1 species